rnacentral:misc_RNA from 1 species
AUAAACAAUACAUUGAAGGGACUGAUUACAGCCAAUCUUGAGGAAAUCCAUAUCACAAACGGCAGUUUUAACGAGUUGCCGCCCAAUGCUUUUAGUAACUGCUCCCAGCAGUCUUCCUCCAAGCUAACCAAGUUGACAAAGCUGGUAUUGUCUAGCAACAAUAUUACGAAAAUCCAUGGGAAAACAUUCCAUUGCAUGCCAAACUUGGAAAAACUUUUCCUCAAUAACAAUAGUUGGCAGAUUCAUAAAGAUAGCCAUUCCGGAUACUUCAACAACCUGCCAAAACUAGUAGAGUUAGAUCUCACCGCUGCAUUAUUACCCAUGGAGAGACUUCAUGUAACCCAUCUGAGAUAUGUAUUCGAGAAUACCAACUUUUCCAAACUUGAAACCUUACGACUGGGUUGCAAUGGUAUACAAUUUUUGGAUGAGGAACUAGGAAAGACACUCUGCAACAUGGACAGUUUAAAGCACAUAAAUUUCCAUGGAAACAGUCUCGGGAGACUGCAAUUAACAAAUUGCUUCCAAAAAUCCAAAUUUUUGGAGAAAAUAGACUUUUCGAACAACGUCUUUACCUAUGUAGACCAAAGAACCAUGGAUGUUCUUGAUACCAUACACAGUGAAAACCCAGACGUAAACUUGACCGUGAACCUGCUGAACCAGCAGUGGUCAUGUGACUGUGCCAUCAAACCGUUCAAAGACUGGAUGACCACGACCAAAGUUCACCUAAUGGGAAUGGGCAAAUAUCGAUGUUAUGAUGGAGCUAAUUUCCAUAAACAUAUCAUCAAUCUGUCGGAUAGCGAAAUGUGCGGGGCCCACGUGGACAGUUCCGUACAGGCUGGGGUGGUGGUUGUCAUCGUACUGUUGGUCAUAAUAGCCCUGGUCCUGGUGGGGGUGCUUAUAGUCUACAGAAACCGUCUGACGUCACUUGCACGUGGCGUCAGGAAAUCCCUAGUGCGCAACAGUCACGCGCAAUAUUCUUCUGUUGAUAAAUCCCCACUGACUGCAGACGCUUAAUGUCGCGGUAAAAAUUGAUAUAUUUUGUCAGAUUUUUUUUACAGGCAUUAGAAUGUGUGAUAUAACUACAGACAGUGUAAAAAUGUAGUAUACUAUUCAUAGGCAAUACAAUUGAACGCCAAGUGAAGUGAUUAUUAGCUUAAUUAUAAUUAGUUCGUAAUUUUGAAAAAGGAGACUUGUAACGAAAGAAGGAUGUAUAACGUGAUAAGGUUAUACGGUGUGUUGAUAGUAGUUAAUACAUGACUCAUGGCUAACGAACAUUUAAAACUUUUUCUUAUAUAGUCCCAUGUCAAUGAAACGUGUAACUAUACAGAUUUCUUUAUUGAUAAUUUUAAUCAUGUUUAAAGAUCGCGGAUCCCAGUGGCUUCCUCAACCUUCCAAUGUGUUUACCAGUGGUUGGACCGCUGAGAAGUCUAAAAUCUGAAGCUAGAAUCUAGAAAUAAAGAGAGAAAAGGAGAAGAAUAAAAACCCCAUUUUUAGUGUUCAUUGAUUUUUAGGUCUCUCAGGCUCAUUAAAUCUUCACGUCUACUCCUCCCAGCUUUUUGUCACUGUGAUUUUUUUUAAUUUUGGGAGGGGAUGACGAAUGAUCUGUCGUCCUAUGGCAUUAACCGACAAAAGUUAUGUGUUGUUUCCAAAGUUAUGUCGAACAUUCUUCCCCUGUUAUUAUUAUAUUCUAUAAAUUAUCAGUCGUGUUCGUAUUUUUUCUAUUAUACACCUGUAUAUUUGUUAAUAUUUUGUACUGAUAUUUUUAUAAGUAGGUAUAUUUAUAUAUUUGAAUACACCCAUUUUGCCACAUUUUGUACUUUUAAUAUGUUACAUAUUUCUGCAUUAAACUCGCUUUGUUUCUAC